GGUAAAAUGGCUGAUAAUAGGUGAUAAACUGUAAAUUUAUUUAUGAGAAUAAUUCUCUUUUACCA
rnacentral:tRNA from 1 species